UACGAAGGGGGCUAGCGUUGCUCGGAUUGACUGGGCGUAAAGGGCGCGUAGGCGGCUUGUACAGUCAGACGUGAAAAUUCCUGGGCUCAACCUGGGGGCUGCGUUUGAUACGUAUGGGCUUGAGUUCGGAAGAGGGUCGUGGGAAUUCCCAGUGUAGGAGGUGAAAAUUUCGUAGAUAUUGGGAAGAACAACCGGUGGCGAAGGCGGCGACCUGGUCCGAUACUGACGCUGAGGCACGAAGCGUGGGGAGCAAACAGG
rnacentral:rRNA from 1 species